rnacentral:piRNA from 2 species
UCAAUAUGGUGACCUCCCGGGAGCG